CCUCUAAACAAAGCAUUGCACUGCUAGAAUUAUUCUAGCUUAAAGGUCCAAACACAAAGUUUAUCUUCUGUUAAAUCUCCACGACAUUUUAACUAGGGCUAUGAAAUAAAUGGUCAACUAAAUCAAGCUGUAUUAAUUUCAGGCAUUAUUUUGAACCUAUUUUAUGGUGCUACAACCAUCUGACAGCAUUUAAGGGAGAGGCACAACAGCUGACAAAAGACCUAAGAAUUAGCUCUAUAAUUAUUUGCACAGGGAAAAUGGCUCCUUUCCACUUUCAGCCUACUGUGUAAGUCUUGAUACAUUUCAUCAGCCUCACGUAAUAAACCCUGUGGAGGAAUUAAGGAGCCAGGAAAUAUAGGUUAGGCUCACAAGACAGAUGCCAGCACUUAGUGCUGCUGAGGCCUCUGAGCGCUUCAGGCCACAGGCGCCCCUCCACCCGGGAGAAAGAAGAGGGUUUACAGUGCUCCACUGGGGAAAAGGGCUUUUGUCUUUGUUGAUGACCUAAACAUGCCUGCCAAGGAGAAAUAUGGUGCCCAGCCUCCCAUUGAACUGCUGCAGCAAUGGAUUGACCAUGGCUACUGGUUUGACAGGAAAACACUCCGAGUUACACGACUCCCUGUACAGAAAAAGGAAUAAAGGCUUAUACGUUGCAGUGAAUUACAGCAUGAGAAAGGCGAGUCUAUAUGGGAGAGAGGCACAACCUGCAUUUUCGUGUGUUUGCAAAAACACCAUCAGUAUUUAAGCCAACACAAAAUGGUUUCAGAUAAAUUUUUAGUUCUUGGUUGUUAAGGACUGAAACAAAAUAAUUUGUCUUUCAGUGAAUGACUGGAGUUACAAUGCAUCUGAAGAUGGCUUUUCUAGCAUGCAGCCAGUGUUUAGUGGAAGUGUGUGUAAUAGAUUCAUAGACUUUUCUGCAUGAUUUAUGUUAAUACAGGUUGUUGGAAGACUUCAGAUUCUCCCUUGUUUAUGUCUCAUCUGUCUGCAUUUUAAAGAAGAGCAAUGUUGUUGAAGAGCAACCCCAGUUAAUUCACAGCUUUAAAAAAAAAAGUGUAAAAUGGCACCUAGUCAUGGAGGCUCCAUUACAGUGCUUGAUCAUUAGAUGAAUGUAACCAUACUUUAUGAUACACUUAAUUAUAUACACCUAAGGUACAAAGCAGCUGCACUUCUACCAAAAGAAUGGGCCAUUAAUUAAGAACUAGUACUUCCUAUAUGCAUUAUUAUUAUUGCAGUUCACAAUUAUGCUUAAACCAGUCAUUACACAUUUUACCGUGUUGAAGAUCUUGUUUUCUAUAAUAUGUGUUUAACACUGUAUUACAACUUUGCAUGGCAGCCUCAGCCUGUUCCCUCUGUGCUUUUCAAAAGAGAGGCAUGAAAGUUGGCAGGUAGUGUCUGCAUUUCAAUUGGAACUCCUACCUUUCUCUUUACUCUUAACCAAAUAAAAUAAAGGCUUUAGCUUUUCUAUAGCA
rnacentral:lncRNA from 1 species